GACAGUGGGUGGCCAAGUAAUUGUUAAUGUUGGAUGUCAAUGCUGAGCAGAGGGAUACAGCAAUCCAGGAGGGUCGUGGAAGGUUUACGGGCCCGAAGGAGGACGUGCAUGACGUCGGGAGUAUCCUCCAUGCCGCGAGGCUGAGAGAGGUGACGUCUGGGUGAAGAACGAGGCCGUGGUCGAGUGACAGGAGAUCCGGGCGGAGAGGAAGGAGGAGCAUAUCUGACGACAUCGAGACCAGUGUCCUUAACUGGUAGCACGGGAGGCGAAUCAGAAGUGGAUUGCCCCGCUGGAAGUCUAUCAGCAGAAAGAGCUGGUGAUCUGGCCGCUUCUGAGGAUGAAGCAGGAUUCAUGGCUGCUUGCCAAAGGUCAUCAGAAGGACUGUUGAGGACGCUGUCGCUAUGUGUGUGCUGUCGAUUUUGGUAUGAGGAAGAUGACUGAGAGAAAAGAACCAAGAAGCGCGAAUGGAGAGCUUGUCAAGAGAUGAAACCUCAGUGGCGGCAAAAAGGAACUGAGGCAAUCAUCAGGAUGGGUGGACCACGUGUGUUAGGGGGCGGUCCUGCUAAAAGUGUUUGAGCUCUAGAAUAUUCUGGAGAUCCCUGCGCAGGUGGAGAUUAACCCAUUAGUGUGCAUUCACAGAGACCAUGAAGAAGAACAAGCAGUUAUUAAAUAGAUUGAAAUAUGG